rnacentral:piRNA from 1 species
UGUGAGCUAACAGCUGGGGGUGGGGU